UAUAAGCACGAUUGUUGUACGUUACGGUCAGUCAUUUAUACUGCCAGUCUCAUUGAGUACGGUUGAACACAUAUGCGCCUGUCAGCCGAAACAUACAUAUACCAGACAUGUUGAAGUUACACUGUUUGCUGGCCGUGUUCCUGGUGCUGGUGGUAGCCAGGUCCACUUCUGCCUGGUGGUGGGGGCGCAGAGAUUGCCCCCAGUUACCGCAUUGCCCCAUGACAUGUGAGAGUGGAUAUGUGAGCUCUACUGACUACAACGGUUGUACCAAGCAGCUCUGCAAAUGUAAAGAUGUCUGUGAGCGUUUUAAUUGCCCCACUAAUUACGAGAUGCCAGAAAAAAUUCCACUGCAAGAAAUGGGGUGGAUGUUCCGUCUAUCAACAUGUGUCGGUCAGUAUCCUUAAACUGUACUUGUGUUGAACCCCAAAAAGGGUCUGAAUGCAGACACUACUAUGCCAUCAACAACUACAACGUCCACAACAACAACUACAGUUUCCACGACAACCAAACUCACAGUUAAGCAAACAAAGCACAGACAGAUGCCCCGGUGAAAGUCUCAUC